GAUGCACCCCCUGUCCUGCCAUGGGAGACUUGCACAGUCGCUGCUGCUUCAGCAAGCCGUCCGUCAGCAGAAAAUGCCUCAGGCUCAGCCACCAUUCCUGUCCGACUCAGCUUGAAUACUGCAGCAAUGUGUAAGAGAAUCUCCACGUGAUAUACUAGUAGAGCGUUGUGCGCCAAUGCAGAGCUCAUCUUUGACGAUAUUGAAUGUGCCGUAGUUGUAGAGAAGUACUUCCUUGCCUUCCGUGAGGAUUAUUUAAAUCAUGUAGACAAAUCAAAGUGGCAGCGCUUCAUUCGUAGUAAGUAUAAGCAGGUUAAAUGGUUAAGAUACAAAACACGUUAAGUCACUUUGAAAAUUCAAACCAAAGUUCCUUGACCUUUAGAAAUAGGAAAUCAGGGACUUGAUAAUUGGGCAUUCCCUGUUUACGUAUUUAAUGGUGGAAAGCUGAAACCGUAGCAAAUAACAGAAUCACUUGGGAACUCUGUACUUCCUGGGUGCAAUUUGAAUCAUUCCGUGCGUGUUACCAGACUGAACUGAGAGCACAUACCAAACCUAGUAUAUGGAUUAAAAGUUGGGAUUUAUUUUUUAUAUGAGAAUAUUAUCACUGUUACAUAACAUACUCAGGAUAAAGAACUUUGCUCAGGGAACAUAUCAUAUAAUGUUUCUUUACAGAGUCGUCUACAGUCCUGCUUACUCAAAACAAGCCAAAUAACUUAGACCUUUAUAUAAGUAUUAUGUACUGAUGUUAGUAACUACCUCUGAGUUUGACAUAGAUCGAGAUUUCCAAGCAUGGGGAGAGUGCCCCACAGCAGAAUUCCUGUAUUCCUUGCAUAUGUGAAUGUCAGUGUCACUGAUAUGAGCACAGUGUCCAUUUACAUGGGUGAAAUAUUAAUCUGUUUACAGCAAUAGGCUACCUCAUGGUUGAUGCAUAGCACACCUUCUUGCUGCUCCAGCCUUCCAAAUGGCUGACUUUUCUCUGGUACAGAAUCCUUUAAUCUGUGUUAUAGACAACAAUUCACAACUUCCCGUUUCUGACACACGUGAAUAAUGAAGCAUCUCACUUAGUUAAAGAAGUCUCCAAACAUCCCUUUAAAGUGACUGUGUACUGUAGUUCAAAGACUGAUGAGCACUCUUUUUUUUUUUUUUAAAGUUAAACUACAAUUUUGGAAACAGCUGCUUGGCCCAGAGGUCAGGGUGGGAGGAGUGGGAGUGAGGAGGGGGGUGGGAAAGGUUAGCAUGAGGAAAGAUUGGUAUCUGAGUACAUUCGCGCUGGGCAAACAGUAGCAAACAUGCCAGUCUCCAUUAUGUCUGCUGCCCUGAAGCCAAGCAUAUUGCAUCAUGAUGGCCCUCGGCAUAUAACUAACUAGUACUGGCAUACCAAGGAAUACACUGACAGUGGCCAUGCAGUGCCACUUCUAGCUACUGAAGGGAAGGGUCUGAGUCAAGCGUCAGUUUACAGGGGUUAUUGUAGUGGGUUGGGCAGGAGGUCUGUGAAUUAGUUGUCCCUUAAACUCACCCCUGUGUCAGCACCAGUGUCAUUCCUAAGAAAGAUGCAUUACCAGCCCCUUAGCCCUGUGAGCUGUUUGUUGCUACAUUGCAAGUUAUAGUAGAAACAUCGUUUAUACUUGCAUUUUUAGUCUAUACUGGAAGCCUUUGGGUGUAUUUUUACAUUAGAAAGAUUUUUUUACCUGCUUAUAACUUGGAGGUUUGGAGUACAAUGUAGGAGAAAAGAUCAAGAAACAUCAACUUAUCAUCACUGUUCCACCUGCAAAGUUAUAAAGUCUGGGGAGAAUGUGCAGGUGCAGUUGCACCGACUUGAAUCUUUCUGAACGUCUGAAUGAGAUUUAUUUGUGGUAGAAAAGAACAGUGUUAAAAGCACCAAAUUCUGUCUUACAUGGCCGUGAGCGGCCUCUUUAAGACGUGGAGAUUGUCUAGUCUGUGUUAUCGUUGCUCCGUCAGAGUGAGAGGUGACCCAUGAUUCAUUUUAUGUCUGGAACAAAACUGCGAGUGUAUGGUACCCCCAGAGCACUCCCAGAAGGCCUGCACUGUGAGGAACUGUUGUGAUACUGAACACCUCCGUGGCUUAGCACUUGGGAAAGUCGCCAGCUUGAAAAUGGUGGUGUUGACUACCUCUUGAAUUAUUACAGCUGUCAACCGUGGACAUCCACCACCAAGCCAACUUUAACGACUCAUGUGUGUUGCUUUUUGAUAUGAUCAGCUCUUAACUGUACCAGAGACCAAAGUGAAUACUGAUUUCUCCAUGUCUUUAAUAUGGUGUUUCAUCGAGCGGUUUUUUUACAAGUUACCCUGCAUAGUGUUUAGAUUGCCUCUUUGUCCGUUUUGAUUAAUGUUGUUUACAAGUCAAAAUUUAAAAAAAAAUUGAACUUUUUUUUUAUAUGACAAAAAAAAAGGUGUUUGGAAUGACACUUUGCUCAUAUUCAGUUACACAGUCAUCUCAAUGGACUACGGAACUACUCGCCUUUUUGCAGACUGUGCGUUUUAUAUGCUCAUUCUAUGCCUGAUGUCUUACUCUGUCAAUUAUGGAUGUUUUGAGGUUUUAAAAAUUACAUGAUUAAAAAUAAACAUAUACAGAAAACCCAAUGAGUUUUGGAGCUGUUUCAUGAUAUGUACAGUUGGUGAGUGAAUGGUUUAAAUGAAUGGUUUAAAGGCCCUUCCCGGCAACCCUUACACAAACAGGAACAUAGAUUACUUGCAUCUUCAGAGAAAAUGUUUAUAAAUAGGGAGUUUGUGAAAGUGCAGGUGGUGAAUAAAUUCAGCCUGGUGAAUAAAGAGGAAGCCUGGGUCCUGUGAUCAUUAGAAGCAGGCUGUAUCACCACCAAGAAUCGCACAAAUUUUGGUGAAUAAAGCAAGAUGCAAGCCUCGUUUGGCCAGGAAAAACGUCUUUUGGAGACACUCUAUUUUUUUUCUUCUUGGUUGUCACUAUUCCAGGUUGACUUUCUCAGAGAGAAACAGAAGCAGAGGGAAACAUACCACAGCACCAAAGUCUCCUGCAGCCAGUGGAGGUCCUGGGUUGUUUGCCUGGCAAAGCAAAUACACUAUCCAGGUUUGAAUCCAGCCUCUGCUGAGGCUGUGGAGAUUCUCUUAUCUGGAAAAGUCAGCCCAGAGCAGAUAGGAUAAGAAAAGACAUGUAAAUAAACAUACGUGUCUGAGGAAAUGAGAUUCAGUGCAGCAGGGCCUAGUGUAAUGGCUGAAAGAACAGAACCCGAGAUACUUUAAAUAAAGGCCAGAGUGGAGACUGAGCAGUGCUUGUUUGGUCUGGAAAGACUUGAAUGUGGUGGGGUGAGACACAGAAGCACAACAUGUUGGCAGAUAACCACUGCAGCUAGGAAUGUGACAACUUUCACUCUUGAAGAAUUGAAAAAGCACCCAAAAAGUGAGCAUGUUUCUCUACAGGUAUCACUGAGUGUCACGGUGAUAGAACCCAAACAGGAAAUAGGAGCCUUACUGAACAGAAGACACAGA